GCGUUGGUUUAGCUCAGUGGUUACUUCUGUGACCUUCACAAAAUCAACCUCUCAUGGUUGCGUUGCGGCCAGAGAUCGAACUACGGGCACUGUCCAACGUUUUA
rnacentral:vault_RNA from 8 species